rnacentral:tRNA from 1 species
GAGCAUUUAGCCUAGAGGUAUGAUUCUCGCUUUGGGUGCGAGAGGUCCCAAGUUUGAUUCUCGGAAUGCCCC